rnacentral:ncRNA from 1 species
ACCCCCGUGAGGAUGCCCUCAACUUCUUAUGAAAAUGAGGGGCCGGUAUCAGGCACGCACCGCAGCCCAAGACACCUUGUUAAGCCACACCCCCAAGGGUAUUCAGCAGUAAUAGACCUUAAGCCAUAAGCGAAAGCUUGACUUAGUUAAGGUUAUUUAAGAGCCGGUAAAACUCGUGCCAGCCACCGCGGUUAUACGAGAGGCCCAAGUUAACAGCCUCCGGCGUAAAGCGUGGACAAGGGUAAAAACAACUAAAGCCGAACGUCCUCUUAGCAGUUAUACGCAUUCGAAGGAACGAAGCCCUACCACGAAAGUGGCUUUAUUUCACCUGAUUCCACGACAGCUAAGGAACAAACUGGGAUUAGAUACCCCACUAUGCUUAGCCGUAAACCAUGAUAUCUAAAAUACAACUGAUAUCCGCCAGGGUACUACGAGCACUAGCUUAAAACCCAAAGGACUUGGCGGUUUUUCAGAUCCCCCUAGAGGAGCCUGUCCUAUAACCGAUAAUCCCCGUUAAACCUCACCACCCCUUGUUAAUCCCGUUUAUAUACCACCGUCGCCAGCUUACCCUGUGAAGGUUUAAUAGUAAGCAAAACGGGCACAGCCCAGAACGUCAGGUCGAGGUGUAGUGUAUGGGGUGGGAAGAGAUGGGCUACAUUUCCUAAACUAGGACACCACGGACAACACUAUGAAAUACAGUACCCGAAGGUGGAUUUAGCAGUAAGAAGAAAGCAGAGUGUUCUUCUGAAGUAGGCUCUGAGAUGCGUACACACCGCCCGUCACUCUCCCCGAGUUAAUCACCAUUCUUACCUAAAAUAAAGAACAAUAACACAAGGGGGGACAAGUCGUAACAUGGUAAGUGUACUGGAAAGUGCACUUGGAAAAAAU